rnacentral:rRNA from 1 species
UACGUAGGGGGCAAGCGUUGUCCGGAUUUAUUGGGCGUAAAGAGCUCGUAGGCGGUUCAGCAAGUCGGGUGUGAAAAAUCUGGGCUCAACCCAGUGGAGCACCCGAUACUGCUGUGACUAGAGUCCGGUAGGGGAGUGUGGAAUUUCUGGUGUAGCGGUGAAAUGCGCAGAUAUCAGAAGGAACACCAACGGCGAAGGCAGCACUCUGGGCCGGUACUGACGCUGAGGAGCGAAAGCGUGGGGAGCAAACAGG